GGUAGUAAUGUUAUAAAAUGUACGUGACGGCGGCGAUAAUACACUGUGCAUCAUAUUAUGUACCUACCGACUCUUUGUGCCGACGUUUGAUAACAAUAUUAUAAUCUUGUCGUCGUGAACGGGUCCGGUAUUAAUUAAAUCACCCGAUACGCAACUAUGCCGUCGUAAUGUUUCAACGCGAUCGUGUAUAUACGUAUAAUAGCGAGUAGAUUUUUUUUUUUUUGCUUUUUAUCAUUAAAACGUGAUUCAAAAAUGUUCACUAUGUUUUAGCAUUCAUAGUGACACACAUUAUCACUUCAAAGGUUUUUGUUUUUUUUUUUUCUUUA